rnacentral:lncRNA from 1 species
UUGAGGACUGCAACUUUAAAAUGGUUUAUUUUUAAUAAAAUCUUAGUGUUUUUUCCCUGUUUUGUCUAUUCUAUCCCCCAAUUAAAAACAAACAAGAAACCAACCAAAUAGAAAGACCUGUCAAGAGACUCGGGCUGCAGCCAGCACUUGAGGCAUGGCUUCUGGCUUCUCUAAGUACUGAGAGGGUCAGGGAGCUUCUGGCUUCCUGAAAGCAAGGUAUCUGAGCUAGUACUAUAUUGUCAGGGCUGGGGUGAAAGAACAAACUAAGGAACUAUGUCAGUUACAGUACAAGAAACAGUAGCCAGUACCCAGAGGACUCAGUUGUGGUCAAGUAAUGUUUACUAUCUGGGUCUCCCAGAACCCCUUGGGGUGUAGCUACAAGGACAUGGCCAGAAAAGGUAACUGACCUUGUGUCUUACCUAUCAGAAUUGUCCUCUUUGAACAACUUGCCAUUGUCCAGAAGUA